CAUAUCAAUUCAUCUUUUUAAUAGCUGUGUAUUAUUCCACAGUGUCCAUGGAAUAUGAAUAUCAUUCUGGAUACCUUCUGCUUGACUACCCAGAUCUGCUUGCCACUCACCUCUAUGCUGCUCUUCAGGAGGCAAACUCCCAUGGUUUCCCUUGUCCUCUGGUUGGGUUGACAAAUAGGAGAUUAACAAGAGAAGAAAAAGUUCCAAGGCUGGACUUAAAGGAAGCUUAAGACCCAUGCUCACUACAUGCAUUCAGAAAAGGUGCCACAGAAAAGUCUCUGUUUCUUAUUUGAGGAGUGGGAAAGAAAUUCCUAACAGAAAGCAGGACUUGAAUUUCAAUUGAGUAAUCUUCAGCACUCUCUGGGAUUUGAGGAAAUGAACCAAUACUUAAAUUCAAAUGAUAUGGACAGGAGACGGAAAUACUGGGUAAAAGAUGGCGGUUACCUGGCAAAGGCCCCACCUUUAAGCCUGAAGACCCUCAAUGCUAAAUGAAGACAGGCAUUUCUGUUUUCCAGCCUCAACAUUUUUUUGGCCUGCCAUGCCCCCCAAGUGUGCCCCCAUAUAAACCCAAGACCUUAGCAGGCACACACACAGGCAGUUGAAUGUCGAGACCAGCAGACCAGCGAUGGUGGAAGGAGGUGGCAGAGAAAGGGAGAAGAGGAGGGACAUCUGAACUCUGAGGGGAGUUUGGCCAGGGGUGGUCGGAGAACAGCCGCUGGGCAGCCCAACUCCAAGGGAAGACUACCUUCCCACUCCAUCCCCACUUCUGGCUCCCCAUCCAUCUUGCUGAGAGCCACCUCCACCACUCAAUAAAACUUUGCGCUCAUCCUUUGAGCCUGCGAGUGAUGUGAUUCUUGCGGGAGGCUCGGCAAGAGCUCGGGAUACAGAAGACUGUCACACUGGCCCUCUGCCCUUGCGAUAAGGAAAGGGUCCAUUGAGCUGAUUAACACUCAAGCCGUCUGCAGACGGCAAAUCUGAAAGAGCUUUGCAACACAUGCCCACUUGGGCUUUGGGAGUCGCAGACAUCUACUCCUAGAUGCCGCCCUGGGGCGGGAUCCCAAAAGCGCUCAUCAGGGCCUCUGCACCUGCCUGUCUGCGUGCUCCCCCUAGGGGUUUGAGCUGCGGGGCAACCAAGCAGGCAAGCCACACCCAUGUCUCACAUCCUGGGAGAGGAAUCAAGAAACUCUUCUGUUUCAACAUAUAUAUUACUGUGAUUGUCUUUUUGGUGUGUCAAUUUGAUUAGGCUAUAGUCUCCAGUUAUUCAAUUGAAUACUAAUCAUGUUGUGGGUGUAGAGAUGUUUUGUAGGUUUUGUAGAUGUGAUUUAAAUCCAUAAUCAACUGACUUAAAGUGAUGGAGGUUAUUUUAGAUGAACCUGAUUCAAUUAGUUUAAAAGUUAAGAGCAGAGGUGAGGCUUUGCUAAAGAAGAAGACUUUCUGUGAACAGUAGCUUCAUUCUGUGCCUGAAAGUUCCAGCCUGCCCUUCCUGAUGCCCUGCUCUACAAACUUCAGAUAUUCUUAGCCAGUCAUCAGAAUGGUGUAAACCACUUCCUUGCCAUAGAUCUCUCAAUGUAUAUCUCCUACUAAUUCUGCUUCCCUGGUUUAACCUUGAUUGAUACAAUUACCUGGAUUAUAGUUCCAAACAUACUGUUAACCAAUGAAAUAGACUUCAAGAUUACCAAACUGUGUUUCCUGCCCUUGAGGAAAAUAGUGUAAGAUGUUAGGAAUUAAUUAAACUCAGAAACUGUAUGUUUCAUUGCUAAGGUAUCCUUUCAGGUUUUUGAAUAUUUAUUAUAUCUACAGUCUAUUUUUCUUGGGUUAACCUCAAUACAUUUGUUUCAGUCUAUGGAGUCUUGACUGUUUUUGUGCUUGAUACUUUAGAUAGUCUUAUAAAAUUUUGUACAUUAUAAAUACAUGUGUAAAUUAAUAUUAAUAAAAGGACUG